rnacentral:lncRNA from 1 species
UCUGAUCUAAGAAUGAAAUAAUAUGUGGGUAUCACCAAAGGAAAGGUAUGGAGAGCUAGGUGCAUGGCUAAUGAAAUAAUUGAAGGAGUCUCACAAAAAAAUGCAAUGUUGUGGAGAUAUGCUACAAACCUAAAGAAUCAUUGUGUUGGGAAUACUAUGAAAAUUGACAUGAAAAGACCAUUGCCUUCUAUUCCACCAACACUUGGAAAGUUUUAUUUUGUUUUGAUGGCUGUAAGAAGAGAUUUACUCAAGUUUGUAGGCUUUUU